rnacentral:rRNA from 1 species
UGGGGAAUUUUGGACAAUGGGCGAAAGCCUGAUCCAGCAAUGCCGCGUGUGUGAAGAAGGCCUUCGGGUUGUAAAGCACUUUUGUCCGGAAAGAAAUCCUUGGCUCUAAUACAGUCGGGGGAUGACGGUACCGGAAGAAUAAGCACCGGCUAACUACGUGCCAGCAGCCGCGGUAAUACGUAGGGUGCAAGCGUUAAUCGGAAUUACUGGGCGUAAAGCGUGCGCAGGCGGUUUGCUAAGACCGAUGUGAAAUCCCCGGGCUCAACCUGGGAACUGCAUUGGUGACUGGCAGGCUAGAGUAUGGCAGAGGGGGGUAGAAUUCCACGUGUAGCAGUGAAAUGCGUAGAGAUGUGGAGGAAUACCGAUGGCGAAGGCAGCCCCCUGGGCCAAAUACUGACGCUCAUGCACGAAAGCGUGGGGAGCAAACAGGAUUAGAUACCCUGGUAGUCCACGCCCUAAACGAUGUCAACUAGUUGUUGGGGACUUCAUUUUCCUUAGUAACGUAGCUAACGCGUGAAGUUGACCGCCUGGGGAGUACGGUCGCAAGAUUAAAACUUAAAUGAAUUGACGGGGU